UCCUCAUGUGGAAUUUAAAUCACUAUAUUGCUAUUUAGGACUAUAUUUAAGACACCUGUGCUACUCUGGCACCUUAAAAAGCAUUGAAAGAAUUUAGUCAGUAGAUUUAAUAGGGUUAUACCAAAGAUUUUCAUGGUAAGGAAGAAGAGGGUUAUAAAAAGUUUAGACGAAAGAGAAUUAUGAAGGUAAAGAAGCCCAUCUAAAGGAAAUCAAGGACACACUAAUAAAGAGAAGGCUUUGUUAGUAGACAAAGCGAAAGAGAGGAGAGGCCCUCUGGCACUAAUACUGCUUCUAUGUAACUGAUUCUCAUGAGAAAAGGAGAAAACCACGGUCUCAGAAGUGCUAACAUAAGAAACCUCCACUUCCCUUUCAAGAAAAGAACUCAAAGGAAACCUCUCUGAGAUGGCAAGGAGGAAAUGCAAACUAACAUACAGUAGAAGAAAUUCAGAAGAAGUCUCCCUUGUAGCCAAGACACUUCUCAUGUCCAUUUCUUGUGGAAGAUCACCAGUCAUUUAAAAGCAUUACUGAAUUAUGUAAGAUUUUGUUGAAGUUUUAUGUACAUGGACAGUAGAUGCACUGAAAAAAGAAUGGAUGCAAAAUACCUUUGGUACAAUAUCACGGAUUGUGAGCAGGAUUUGAUUUGGAGUAACACGCUUUCCUGGUAUGUGGAGGAAAG